UACGUAGGGGCCAAGCGUUGUCCGGAUUUAUUGGGCGUAAAGAGCUCGUAGGCGGUUCGGCAAGUCAGCUGUGAAAUCUCCACGCUCAACGUGGAGGGGUCAGCUGAUACUGCUGUGACUUGAGUCCGGUAGGGGAGUGUGGAAUUCCCGGUGUAGCGGUGAAAUGCGCAGAUAUCGGGAGGAACACCAGUAGCGAAGGCGGCACUCUGGGCCGGUACUGACGCUCAUGCACAAAAGCGUGGGGAUCAAACAGG
rnacentral:rRNA from 1 species